GCCAGCGCCGCGGGUGACUCCGCCUGGUUUCUGUCCCGGGUUCAAAAGCUACCUCGUCCGAACUUUUUUGCGCAUCCCCUGAAGCCUGCAGCGCGGGCGCCGCGUGUCCACCCGUGGCGCCCGUGCUCUCCCUCCCCCGGCCAGGAGCCCUUCGCUUCCCCCCUGCGGCUCCCAGAUGCUGGACCGUAACAGACGAGUGGCCUUCCAGGCACAGGGACGACCUCGGCCAACAGUGUCACAGGAGUCAGCCGCCAGUCCGUGAACCCUCCCGACUUCUCGGAGUAGGUGCUUCUCAGGACAUCAGAGCUCGAAGCCCUGGCCUCCGCGUGGGGGCACACGCCCCCCUGGACCCCUCCUCCUCGGUCAGCUCCAUCUGAGCUCUUCACCCUCAUUACACGCAGUCCUGCCCAGCUCACCUGGACAGCUGGCUCCACUGUCCUGCUCUCCACCCGCAGCGGAACCCAUCAGAGGCCUCGGGUCUGCGAUCCGUUUCGAGGUGGCCGUCGGUGUGAGGCGAGGUGGUGCGUGGCUGGCCAGGCCUGCGAGUUGAAGCCUCCCGUCCCCCUUGAUUCACUGGCCACUGUAGGGGCAUCUGCUGACCGUGCCUGUGCCUGCCUGUUCCCGACUCGGUUCUGUUCCAGGAACUGGUGGGCCCAUCCUUUGGUCCCUGCCACAUUGUCUAGAUUGAGAGCUGACGGAAGCCAGACAGGAAACCUACUGGGCAGGCCACAGCCGCUGGGCCGCUCUCCCACUGGGCCCUGAAAGCGGCCAGUGUGAAGGGCAAGUGAACGCCACGCUGCGUCCCAGUGACACUGUGCUCACAGAGACAGGCAGGGGCCACGUUUGCAGGCCCCCUGCUGACCCUGCCCCUGCAUGCACAGGGGCCAGGUUCUUGGUCUGCGUUACUGGUGGUCAGCGUGGAAUAAGGGAGGGUGGCUCUUCCCAUUUUGUUCUUUUUUCCUGGUUCUGGGUGGAACCCAGGCCCAACACAUGCUGAGCAAGCGCUCUACCGCAGAGCUGAGCCUUUAAUCAGAAUCGCACUGAAUUUAUGGGUCAGUUUGGGGAGAAGUUGACAGCUCAGCAGUGUUGAUUCCCUCAACCUUGAACCCUGCAUCAGUCAGCUUUCUGUUACUGUAACAAGUACCUGAA